AGAUUUACUUCUAAGUAAUAUCUACACUCAUUGUGGGGCUGGAACUCACAACCCUGACAUCAGGACCCUCAGGCUCCACCAACGGAACCAGCCGGGCACCCUUAAUAUAUAUUUAAAGGCUGGAGAAGAAGUCUCCGUGUAGCACUAAAAGAAGCCCCAGAUUUCACAUUGGAUGGCCCUCCUCUGAGGUCCCCUAGCCGACUUUUGAGUUUCUCUCUGUUCCCUCCUCCCACUCAUUCUCUUUCCGUCUGUCACCCCACUGCCUGUCAACUCUGAAUCCCAAGUUCUUCUACAGGACAGAGCAAUUCAGGUCUGUCAAGCUCCUGCCACCAAACUCACCCCGGAUCCAUCUGUGCUCGGGAGAAAUGAAGGGCUUUCUCUCCGGUCACUUUCAUUGUCCUCCUGUGUGGGGCUCAUAAGCUUUUAAAAUAUAAGUUUCCUCCUCCGUAUAUUUUGAAAGGAUCCUGACAGAGGCCCGGGUUUCGGGUUUUCUGGUGGCUUGGAAUGCUCAGGUCACGGGUUGGCUGAAGACACCUGGCUGUUGCCCUCCGACUGGUCAGCUUGUCCUGACCGAGGGCCCUGCACGCUGGGACAGCAGCCCGCAGCCUCAGCCCCAGGCAGCACUGUGGGUGGAUGGCAACCCAGGAAGUGGCCCCUAAGCGGCUCCACCCAAAGGGGAUAGAUCCUACUCGAGCAAGGCCAUCAACCUGAUUCUGCAGAGAAUGUGCUCAGGUUGGUCCCUGGGAGGGAGAACACUUCAGAGACACAGAAAAACCACAAGACAGAGAUGACAGCUGUUGUCCCGGCCCCCUCGCCCAUCAGGGCUGCUCCCCCAAGCUCACUCGAGUGCAGACUCCUGGCCCCAGCCCCCAAGUGAUUCAGGGUGAGGGCAUGGGAUCCGCAUUUUUAAGUUCCCUAGGUGAUUCUGAUGUGGAAGAUUCCAGAAGUGCAGUUCCAGAGGCACUGAUGUAGGGCCUGAAUUCGGGGAG